UCCGUGGUGACCAGCGGAGGGAUCAUA
rnacentral:rRNA from 1 species